rnacentral:rRNA from 1 species
GACGUAGGGCGCGAGCGUUGUCCGGAUUUAUUGGGCGUAAAGAGCUCGUAGGCGGCUUGUUGCGUCGACUGUGAAAACCCGCGGCUUAACUGCGGGCUUGCAGCUGAUACGGGCAGGCUAGAGUUCGGUAGGGGAGACUGGAAUUCCUGGUGUAGCGGUGAAAUGCGCAGAUAUCAGGAGGAACACCGGUGGCGAAGGCGGGUCUCUGGGCCGAUACUGACGCUGAGGAGCGAAAGCGUGGGGAGCGAACAGG